rnacentral:rRNA from 1 species
GACGAACGCUGGCGGCGUGCUUAACACAUGCAAGUCGAACGGAAAGGCCCUGCUUUUGUGGGGUGCUCGAGUGGCGAACGGGUGAGUAACACGUGAGUAACCUGCCCUUGACUUUGGGAUAACUUCAGGAAACUGGGGCUAAUACCGGAUAGGAGCUCCUGCUGCAUGGUGGGGGUUGGAAAGUUUCGGCGGUUGGGGAUGGACUCGCGGCUUAUCAGCUUGUUGGUGGGGUAGUGGCUUACCAAGGCUUUGACGGGUAGCCGGCCUGAGAAGGUGACCGGCCACAUUGGGACUGAGAUACGGCCCAGACUCCUACGGGAGGCAGCAGUGGGGAAUAUUGCACAAUGGGCGGAAGCCUGAUGCAGCAACGCCGCGUGCGGGAUGACGGCCUUCGGGUUGUAAACCGCUUUCGCCUGUGACGAAGCGUGAGUGACGGUAAUGUGUAAAGAAGCACCGGCUAACUACGUG